GGCAGGCCCUGGGCUGGAGGUCAGGGAUAACUGGCCAGGACCGCAGUUGGGGGUGAAGUUCCCAGACCUGGCUGCCUCCUGAGUAGGCCCUGCCAGAACGGCUCCCUCCCGAUGUGAGGUUCCGCAUGUCCUCUUCUGAUUUAUCCAGCUCUCUGACCUCGAGGAGCCACCAAACUGCAGACUGGGUCCCCAGGGCCAGUCUCUGGCAGGGAAAGUGGCUGGUGAUGCCCAGAGUCCCCACAGUCCCCACAAGGCCCCCGGAUGUGAAGAUGUGCUUGGCCCGGGAGCCCCGUCCCACUGGACGCAGUCUGUGGCGUGGCCCCCACCUCACUGUUUGCUCCACAACGCAGGCUAGAAGCACUCUGGGGCCUGAAGGGGCCGCCCUGGAAGCCCACCCCACCCCACACUCCUCUCCCCUCUCCCCAGCUGCCUCAAGGGCUACGUCAACCACAGCCUGUCCGUCUUCCACACCAAGGACUUCCAGGACCCUGAUGGGAUUGAGGGCUCAGAAAACGUGACUCUGUGCAGAUACAGGGACUACCGCAAUCCCCCCGAUUACAACUUCUCCGAGCAGUUCUGGUUCCUCCUGGCCAUCCGCCUGGCCUUCGUCAUCCUCUUUGAGCACGUGGCCUUGUGCAUCAAGCUCAUCGCCGCCUGGUUCGUGCCCGACA
rnacentral:lncRNA from 1 species